rnacentral:rRNA from 1 species
GUUUUUUGAUUAUAAUUUAAAAUCUGACCUGCUCAAUGAUUAAAUUAAAUAGCUGCAGUAUUUUGACUGUACAAAGGUAGCAUAAUCAAUAGUUUUUUAAUUAAAUGCUAGAAUGAAUGGUUUGAUGAAAUAAAAUCUUUUUUAAAUUUAUUUAAUAAAAAUUUUUUUUUAGUAAAAAAGCUAAAAUAAUUUUAAAAGACGAGAAGACCCUAUAGAGUUUAAUAUUAAUAAAAAUAAUUUAAAUUUAAAUUAAUAAUUUUUUUAAAAAAAUAUUUAGUUGGGGUGAUUAUUAAAAGUUAAUAAACUUUAAUUUAAAUUAACAAUAAUUAUUGUUUAUUGGAUCUUGAAUUUUUAAUUUAUAGAAUAAAUUACCUUAGGGAUAACAGAGUAAUUUUUUUGGAUAGAUCAUAUUGAUAAAAAAGAUUGC